GUAGUGUAUGUCAUACUUCCAAGAAAAGCUUGCACUGUCAUAGAUAAAAAACGCCUGUACCAUAACCGACACAGGUGGGUAGGUAGAGUAUACUAAGGGGCGCGAGAUAACUCUCUCUAAGGAACUCGGCAAAAUAACUCCGUAACUUCGGGAGAAGGAGUGCCUUAUUCUUAAGGUUGCAAUAACAAGAUCCAAGCAACUGUUUAUCAAAAACACAGGUCUCCGCUAAGUCGUAAGACGAUGUAUGGGGGCUGACGCCUGCCCAGUGCCAGAAGGUUAAAGAAGCUGGUUAGCAUUUGCGAAGCUAGUAACUGAAGCCCUGGUGAACGGCGGCCGUAACUAUAACGGUCCUAAGGUAGCGAAAUUCCUUGUCGAGUAAGUUCCGACCCGCACGAAAGGCGUAAUGAUUUGGAUACUGUCUCGGAGAGGGGCUCGGUGAAAUAGACUUGUCUGUGAAGAUGCGGACUACCUGCACCAGGACAGAAAGACCCUAUGAAGCUUUACUGUAACUUGAAAUUGAAAUUGGACUUUAUUCGCGCAGUAUAGGUGGGAGGCGUUGAUUAUAAUCUUGCGGGAUUAUUGGAGCCAUUAGUGAGAUACCACUCUUGUAAUGUUAGAUUUCUAACUUUGAAUCAUUAUCUGGUCAAAGAACAGUUUCAGGCGGGCAGUUUGACUGGGGCGGUCGCCUCCCAAACGGUAACGGAGGCGUACAAAGGUUUCCUCUGAACGGUUAGAAAUCGUAUCUAGAGUGUAAAGGCAUAAGGGAGCUUGACUGUGAGACCUACAAGUCGAGCAGGGACGAAAGUCGGUCUUAGUGAUCUGACGGUACUGAGUGGAAAGGCCGUCACUCAACGGAUAAAAGUUACUCUAGGAUAACAGGCUGAUCUCCCCCAAGAGUUCACAUCGACGGGGAGGUUUGGCACCUCGAUGUCGGCUCAUCGCAUCCUGGGGCGGUAGUACGUCCCAAGGGUUGGGCUGUUCGCCCAUGAAAGCGGUACGCGAGCUGGGUUCAGAACGUCGUGAGACAGUUCGGUCCAUAUCCGGUGUAGGCGUUAGAAUAUUGAGAGGAGCCUUCUUUAGUACGAGAGGACCGAGAAGGACAUACCUCUGGUGUACCAGUUAUCGUGCCAACGGUAGACGCUGGGUAGCUAUGUGUGGAGUGGAUAACCGCUGAAAGCAUCUAAGUGGGAAGCCCACCUCAAGAUAAGUAUUCUCAU
rnacentral:rRNA from 1 species